AGUGAACGCUGGCGGUAGGCCUAACACAUGCAAGUCGAACGGCAGCACAGUAAGAGCUUGCUCUUACGGGUGGCGAGUGGCGGACGGGUGAGGAAUACAUCGGAAUCUACUUUUUCGUGGGGGAUAACGUCGGGAAACUUACGCUAAUACCGCAUACGACCUACGGGUGAAAGCAGGGGAUCUUCGGACCUUGCGCGAUUGCAUGAGCCGAUGUCGGAUUAGCUAGUUGGCGGGGUAACGGCCCACCAAGGCGACGAUCCGUAGCUGGUCUGAGAGGAUGAACAGCCACACUGGAACUGAGACACGGUCCAGACUCCUACGGGAGGCAGCAGUGGGGAAUAUUGGACGAUGGGCGCAAGCCUGAUCCAGCCAUACCGCGUGGGUGAAGAAGGCCUGCGGGUUGUAAAGCCCUUUUGUUGGGAAAGAAAAGCAGCAGGUUAAUACCCCGCUGUUCUGACGGUACCCAAAGAAUAAGCACCGGCUAACUUCGUG
rnacentral:rRNA from 1 species